rnacentral:lncRNA from 1 species
ACACUUGAAAGAAUCUAUAUCAGUCUUCAAGGUUGAGGACAUAAACUAAUUAAACAAAAUACUGAUGAUAUUAGUUGUGCAAGUCUUUAGUAUUUUCUCAUUCAUUUUCUGGCUUGUGAUCAGAAAUCAGUUAGAAUGCCUAGGUUGCUUUCUCUACAGCAUAUGUUUCAUUUCUCGCAAGAUAAAUCCCUUGGUGCGGACUCAUUCUAUUCCAAAUAUUAGUACCGUUCAUUUUAUUACUGAUGCAUUUCUUAAAGGUGUUUUCAUCUUUGCCUUAAUUACUCUCUUACUACAUGAUAUGCUUGACUGGAAUCAGAAAUCAUAGAGAAUUAACAAGACAUGGCUUGUGUUAUUGUAGUUGAGACGCAAACUGAAAAUAGUACAUGGCUUCUGCUGCAAAUCCGUUUCUUUUGUUGGAUUUUGCCGAGUUUAGUCAUCAUAUCUAUAGCUAUUAAUUAGUUUGAACUUAGGCAAAACCUUGAAGGUUUUCUAUGCAGUUUAAGCUACUUGUGCAAAACAUUAGGUUGUUCAUGAAGUUUAAGCAGAUUUAUAGGUAAUUUCUUUUGAUGUAUUCCAUGAGGUAUUUAUGUCAAGGGCUGCUUUGAAUAUAUCUUGAAAGAAGGAUUUCUUUGUUUUCUAGGAUUUAGACUCCUUGAAGUUGUUAAGCCGGAAUAUAUGGAGUCAUGCCAAUAAAUCGAGAGCUUUUAUUUGCACAUAGAAUCUAAUGCCGUUGAUUAUUAACUUUCGCAUACUCCUUUUCAAUGUGUGGUUAAUCCAAGUUACCAGUAUUAUGUUACAAGCUUCAAAUUGUUCUUUAGCAUAACAUCAUCACAUUCCUUUCAUCCUUGUCCUUCAACAUCUGGAAAAAAAGUCAUAGGCAAAUGGUCAUGGACUGAUCUUCACGACAUACUCGUGUCUAGAGCUAGCAAGAAUUAGUACUCUCUUUGCUAGUCUAUGUAGGAGGAAGCUCAUACCCUCAAAGAAAGACACUAUAUGUAUCAUCUUUAACAGAAUUUUGUAUUUUUCAUAAAAAACAUAGUUUUAUAUCAAAUCAGGGAACUCUGAAGGUGGGCAUGGCGAACACGUUUACACUUCUCUGGCCGGUUGCUUCUGUUCCCUAAUUGUUACUUAUACAUACCACAAUUAAUCAGUGAGUUCACUUUUCGUCUUAAACUACGAAUAUUUUCGACUUCUUUCUUAAUAGUUGUAUCUGGAAUAGAAUAUUUCUUCUUUUCCUUAUGGAUGUAGUUGGAUGCCUUGCUCAAAGGCAGUGAAACAUCUCGGCUUGGUGAUAUAAGUAUGCAAAAACUCUCAUUUUCCUUAGUAGUUGUCUUUGUUUUAGUUUUUGUUUUUUUUACAAGUAUAACUCUUAUUGUUUAUCAUUUCUUGUUGAUUAAUCUGGCUAGGUGCAGGAUGUGGUGAUUAAUCGCAAUAACCUGCAGUAUCUUGAAUUACAGACAUUGUCACCAAAUUGAGUGGAGCUACUUUGGAGUGUGGAUACACCAGUGCUAAAACAUCCGACGUUACGUGCCCGGUCUCUCUCUUGGUUGGUUUUUGAAUCUUGAGGUAGUGCACAUAAAUGGCGGUCUUGCAACAUAGCUCGCCGUAUAGAUCCUUUCUUGCAGUUGAAAAACACAGAUAUAAUUAUCUGCCUGUCCUCCGAGUCGAUACUAUUUCUGUUACUACUCUUGCAUUAAAGCCUUCUUCAGGAAUCAAAGAAUGAUUUCCUUAUGUUACAGCCAGGUUCACAUGGUAUUCUAACAGAAGCAAUUCAAAGGGGAAGGUAAUACCUUUUUGCUGGUGUAUUUUUCACCUUUUAUUAUGAAGGCAAGCAAGUGAGAUGAAGUUAAGUUGUCACAGCUAUAGAGUCGUAUACCAAAAUACAAGUCUUGCUGAUAGUAAAUUUUAUUAUUGGGUUCCUCACUUGCCAGAAAAAUAGAAGAAACAGGAGGAUAAUAAGUCACUUGCUUUGAGGGGAAAAUUGUCCCUUAAAUUCUUAGGACUCUUCCUGUUUUGAUUUGAGUUGGUUUUACCUAAAAGGUAGACCAAUUACUGUCGUUCUGAUGAUUUAUAGAUAGCCAAACAUGAAACCAGGUUGUUCAUUCUCGGUUUUGUUUGGUUUAUUUACGAGUCACAUGUAAUAUGAAUUCAAUCUGUUAGAAGUACUUACAUUUAAAAUUUAUUAUAUCCAUGUAUGUUUGCAAGAAUUGUUUUGAAAAAAUAAAUGAACAUAUGAGAAUGUGCAGGAGGUCCCUGUUUUUGUAUUGCAUUUUCAUCCUCUGGAUGCCAAUUAAUGAAAUUAUAUUGUUGCCUGAUCAAAA